AUAUUUACACACACACACAUACACACACUAUAUAUAUAUAUUGUCGCGACGGACCGACACCCGGCGCGCAUAAUAAGAAAGUCGCUCUUCCCCGACUGCCGCGCCAAACACACCAUCAGCCGGAAGGACCGUCACGGUGGGGUGGGACCGUCGACGCUACACCGGCCGGCGAUUGGGGAGUCAGUCGGGGAAAUUCCACCACUCAGGCGACGGCGGAAGAGGAUAAAAGGACGCUCUUCCGCCCGUGCGAGGAGAACGGCUAAGAGACAGACUACGUGCGCGCUCUUCAGCAGCAUAGAGGCACGCCAACCUUUAGCACGACGGUACGAGACCGCCGGGUGGUGAGAUCGCAUUCGACGGUGGAUGACGGCACGGGAAACCCACACACACCUCUCGGGAACCCCGACACACCCUCGAGAAUGUCACAACGCCAGCCACCCCCCCACAAAACCCCUCACACUCACCUCCUCACUACAGACAGCUCCCACACAGACAAAUAAAACCUGUCUCUUAUGGGUCUGUGCUCCGCACUUCCCCGGGCUAAUUCCCUUACAAUAUAUUCUACAGGCUUUCCUGAGCUGAGUAUGUCGCACUUUUAUGUGUAUCUCAACCACAAUUAAAACGUGUACAAUGGACUUGUAGACAUUUGCACAUUUCGUGUGAAAUUUUCCUCAUUGGAAAAAAAUUUACUGAAACUGUAUUUUCCCCAUAAGCCCUUUCUGACUGGUCUUGCCUGCAGUCACUAAAGAUAAAAUACGACACUCCCUUCACUGAAGAACAAAAAAAGUACAACACUGCUGUCUGCUUUUACUAACAUUUAGUUACAUAGUGACAAACUACUGGAGAAUUAUUUGGGGCUAAAGAUAAAAGUCCCGAAUGCCCAGGGCAGGUUAUUCCUCCUGGGCAAGGUUUUUGUUUUGAGUAUUUCAGAAACUGCUGAUAUCCUCGGCGUUUCACACACAACAAUCUCUAGAGUUUACACAGUAUGGUAUGAAAGAAAUUGAGUGACAGUUCUGUGGGUGGAAAUGCCUUGUUGAUAAGAGAGGUCAGAGGAAAAUGGCCAGAUUGGUUUGAGUUACCAGGAAGGAUAUAGUAACUCAAAUAUUCACUCUUUACAGCCGUGGUGAGCAGAAAAGCAUCUUAGCAUGCACAAAACAUCAAACCUUGAAGUGGAUGGGCUACAACAGCAGAAGACCAUCAGCCAAGAACAGAAUUCUGAGGCUUCCAUCGGCACAGAGUGCCCCAAACCGGACAUUUGAAGAUUAGGGAAAAAAAUCACUGGGUUUUUUCCUGUCUCCAACUGUCCACUUUUGGAUGCCCAUCCUGAAGUAAUUAGCAAAUGUGCCAGCUCCUGCUCAGAACCAGCAUCUACAAAGAAUCCAGAUGACGUCAACACCUGCAUAGACUGGAUGAUACCAAUGUCUAAAUCAUCAGACUCAAGCUCUACAGGCGUUUCUCCUGAGGCAGCAGUGGGCCUGCCCCAUUCUGCUCUCUGGGCCGACCUGUACCGUCCUGGUGCCCUGCUUCUGGAGUUCUCUUCACUUAAAGGCCAGUCACUGUUGCUGAGAAUGGCCCAUAUGUUCUUCCCAGGGACACUUGGAAGCCGUGGAGAUGGCAUUAGACUACAUUUCAUGCGGAAGUAUUGGUGUGAUGUCUUGUGGUGGUUUUGGACUACAUUUGCACAAAGACUUUGCGCCCGGGUCUCCAUCAGUGGACAGUUCAUGAUUUCAGUGGAAUAGACUUCAUGUUGAGACUGUGGUGAAUCUCCUGAUAACACAACUGCACUUUGUUUUAUCAUAUAGCACACAGUUAUGGAAGAUACAAUUAAUUACACUGUCCGAUGUCACCCAGAUGAGGAUGGGCUCCCUUUUUGAAUCUGGUUCCUCUCAAGAUUCCUUCACGUCACCCCAAGGAGUUUUUUCCUUGCCACAGUCACCUCUGGCUUGCUCAUUAGGGACAAAUUCAUCGAUUCAAAAUUUAGACCUGAAAUGUAUAUACUUCUGUAAAACUGCUUUGUGACAAUGUUCACAUCAACGUCAAGGUCCGUGGUCAGCACUAUACAAAUAAAACUGAACUGAAUUAAUGGACAUCAGUGGUGUGACACCUCAAUUCUGAAACUCAGGGGUUGAAAAAACCAACAAGCCUGAUUGCCUGGUCUGGCCCUCGAGUAGAAACAAAUAAAGGGGGGGACCCCGAAACAAACCCUACAGUACAGUCCCAGACAAGAAUCAAUUACUAGUUUGUCCACUAGAGGACCAUUCUUGUUGUUUGGCACAG